rnacentral:rRNA from 1 species
AUUACAUGAGAGUUUGAUCCUGGCUCAGGACGAACGCUGGCGGCGUGCCUAAUACAUGCAAGUCGAACGGUCUUUUCUAUGGAAGCUUGCUUCCACUGAGAAGAUAGUGGCGAACGGGUGAGUAACACGUGGGUAACCUGCCCAUAAGAGGGGGAUAACAUCCGGAAACGGGUGCUAAUACCGCAUAGUUUUCUUGAUCGCAUGAUCGGGAAAGGAAAGACGGCCUUUGUGCUGUCGCUUAUGGAUGGACCCGCGGCGUAUUAGUUAGUUGGUGAGGU